rnacentral:rRNA from 1 species
UACGAAGGGGGCUAGCGUUGCUCGGAAUCACUGGGCGUAAAGCGCACGUAGGCGGCUUUUUUAAGUCAGGGGUGAAAUCCUGGAGCUCAACUCCAGAACUGCCUUUGAUACUGAGAAGCUUGAGUCCGGGAGAGGUGAGUGGAACUCCGAGUGUAGAGGUGAAAUUCGUAGAUAUUCGCAAGAACACCAGUGGCGAAGGCGGCUCACUGGCCCGGUACUGACGCUGAGGUGCGAAAGCGUGGGGAGCAAACAGG